rnacentral:rRNA from 1 species
UCCGUAGGCGGGCAGCUCAGUCAGUGGUGAAAGUUUGCAGCUCAACUGUAAAAUUGCCAUUGAUACUGGUUGUCUUGAAUUAAUGUGAAGUGGUUAGAAUAUGUAGUGUAGCGGUGAAAUGCAUAGAUAUUACAUGGAAUACCAAUUGCGAAGGCAGAUCACUAACAUUAUAUUGACGCUGAGGGACGAAAGCGUGGGGAGCGAACAGGAUUAGAUACCCUGGUAGUC